UUCGGAAACGGAUGCUAAUACCCCAUAGGUGGAUUGGUCGCAUGACGAAUUCAUUAAAGGUGGCUUUGCUACCACUCAUGGAUAGCCUCGCGGCGUAUUAGCUAGUUGGUAAGGUAAUGGCUUACCAAGGCAGUGAUACGUAGCCGACUUGAGAGGGUGAUCGGCCACACUGGGACUGAGACACGGCCCAGACUCCUACGGGAGGCAGCAGUAGGGAAUCUUCCACGAUGGGUGCAAACCUGAUGGAGCAAUGCCGCGUGAGUGAAGAAGGUCUUCGGAUCGUAAAGCUCUGUUGUUAGAGAAGAACACGUGCUAGGUAACUACUAGCGCCUUGACGGUAUCUAACCAGAAAGUCACGGCUAACUACGUGCCAGCAGCCGCGGUAAUACGUAGGUGACAAGCGUUGUCCGGAUUUAUUGGGCGUAAAGGGAGCGCAGGCGGUCUGUUUAGUCUAAUGUGAAAGCCCACGGCUUAACCGUGGAACGGCAUUGGAAACUGACAGACUUGAAUGUAGAAGAGGAAAAUGGAAUUCCAAGUGCAGCGGUGGAAUGCGUAGAUAUUUGGAGGAACACCAGUGGCGAANGCGAUUUUCUGGNCUAACAUUGGCGCUGANGCUCGAAAGCGUGGGGAGCGANNAGGAUUAGAUACCCNGG
rnacentral:rRNA from 1 species